rnacentral:snRNA from 1 species
GUUUCUUCGAAGACAUCCGAUAAAAUUGGCAUGAUACAAAGAAGAUUAGCAUUGUCCCUGCACAAGGAUGACACAUACAUCGAGAAAUGGUCCAAAUUUUU